rnacentral:lncRNA from 1 species
GAGGUCAGAUACAGAGACAGGCCAGCCAGAGGACAAGUUUCCAGGUGAGAAAAGCAAUCAGAGAUUUGUCUCAAGUGGCAGGGACUGUGAGCUUUUUGAAAGCAGUCUGUUUGAAGAGGUGUUGAUGAGCAAUGUAGAAAGCCUCAGUUCACAGCCACAGCCUGGAGGAGUGCUCCCUCCCCUCAGACUGGCAGCAUCACGACCUCCUCAGGCUGUGCUCUCCCACCCCAGCUGUCAGAACAUUAAGAGGACAAACAUACGUAAAGAUCUCAAGGACAGGCGCUUCCCAUCCCUCUUCGUGCAGAGACAGCAGCUGGCUGGACUCGGGCAGAGGGUAUGGGCUACUUCCCAACAGCUCUGAGAAGCUGACUGAGGCAGGAGAAGAAAGAAUCCUAGCUCCGGCUCCUCGUUCAUUCUUAAACCUCCUUAGACCUCAAAGCUAGACAUCCUUGACUGUGCUGGAGCAUCCUCUAAAAGUAAGACCACUGAGGGUUUACUUUGGGGAAGGUGGCUUCGUAAAGAGUCAAGCUUAAAGUUCCUCCUAUCGAGGAAAAGUAAAGGGCAGGGCAGGCCGAGCUGUGGAGAACGCAAGAUGAGAGGAGCUGAACCUGGAACCAAAGGCUGUGGCCGGAUGGAAUGAGCCCCUGGAAAAGCCACUGCCCACUGACUUGGACCAGCAUAUGCGUUAUCCCCACACGAGGAACUUUCUCCACGAAAGCCGCCUCUGUUUUUCCGGUCCCCUUUCUCACACUCUUGUGAUGGUUUAUUUUCUGUGUCAACUUGACUGAACCGGGGAAUACUCAGCUGGUUAAUGAACUAAGGGACACCCAGCGAGCUGGUAAAUGUGGAGGUGUUUCUGCAUGGGAUUAACUUUGAAUCAUACUGCUUGGGCUACGGGUGUCCAAGCUUGGGGAUCCAGACGAUGUCGGGUGUGAAUGAAUAUCUGUUGUCUCCAGCC